GUGGGAAUAACCCAAUACCUGCUAGGCAGGUAAGGGGAGAAUGUUUGUUUUCUCUCUUGAAGGGCUGGAAGCAGCAGGCUGUCUAAACACUGGAGUGCUGAGAGACACUAGGUUGGUGAAACCAGUAUUAUUUUGUUAUAGUUUAACCCCUGAGAGAUAGGGAAUCUGAUGUUAGUUAGUGCUCAGACAAGCUAGGUUUUUGUUUA